CGGUCCGGGGGGCGUGGCCUGGGCGAGGGCGCGCCUGCGCCGUGUGCGGGACCCGCAGUGCGGGAGCGGCCGCGGAGGAGCGCGGGGUUCUGAGUUGUGGGGCGGGGCGGGGCGGGGCGGGGCGCAGCUCCGGGCUCGGGCAGGGGCUCGGGAUGCGCCCGGGGAGGCAGCGGGGAGCCGCCCGCCCACACGGCGCUGCACGUGCCCCGAGCCGGCAUGCGGGAGCCCCGGGGCCGCCUGCUCCUUCCCUCCCGACCCCAGCCCCAAAACAUCCGGGGAGCCCCCUCCUCGGCGCCUCCGGGUGCUUAGUGUUACCUUUUGCACGUGGCUGUUCACUAAUUAUUAAGGGGAUGAGGAGGAUGAAGCAGAUGAAGAUGAAGCUGGUCCACCAGGAGAGUACAAACAAGGUGAAGAUGAUGGAGGUUCAGAUUUGGGGGAGAGUGAAGAGGAGGAAGAAGCUGGCCUUUCAUACCUGAUGAUGGACAAGAUCCAGGUAGGACUUACCCUAUUCUACUGUAAGGCUCAGGAUUUUCUUGACACUGUCUAGCUAUAAACGUGUAAUAAUUUAAACUUGUAUAAGCAGAAUCAUGUAAAUCCACUAUCACAUAUGUGCAAUAGAGUACUUUAGAGAGACACCUUUUACUAUCAAAGAAGUGCGUUACAGUAGGGGAACCGCCGCUCUUUGGUAUUCUCCGUUAUCUUGCUCAACAUGAAGUGCUGCAAGAUUUAUUACUUCACUGCCUUGUAGAAUUAGUGUCAUUCUGCACCAGAUCACCACGUCAGAUUUGGAGGAUAACAUGGCCGAAACAAAUCCACCUGCCCUACCAGGAUGCUCACAAGUGUCUGGGGCGCUUCAGCCUUGAGAGCCAUGCCCUCACCGUCCAGAUCUGCAGGUUGUCAGGUGUGGGGCUGGGGCUUCCAGGCAGGGGGGAGAGGGUGAGUAUGGAGGAGCUAGGGCCUGAGGGUGCAGGGGGCUGAUCAGGAUGUGAGGGCUGAGGCAAAGGGGAGACAGGCUGGGAAUCCAGGAGUGAGGGCUGGCCACAGGAAGAAGUCAGGGAGAGGCUGGAGCUGUGGCCUUGGGAGUGCCGUGGGUUCGGCCAUGCAGGGGAGAGCUGGGGCAGGGAGCGGAGACUUGCCCUGGGUGGGAGCGCAUUGCCCUUGCCCUGGGUAGGAGCACAGGACCUUGAGCUGCUGUUAGUGGAGGGAGGUGGGUGGGAAGUUGGAUCCUGGCAUUUUGGGGAAGGAGAAGGGGUUGGAUGCUCCUUUCACCCCACUUAUCUCAGGGCCCUUUUCUUUCCUAGCCAGGGGGGCAGAAAUCCCAUGUGAUGUUUGCUGAGCUGACCUGCAGGGAGCCUGAUGGACACAGGGGAUGGGAACGGGGCUGUGUCAGGUUCGCUGCUCUGGGAAGGAAGCGAGUUAGAGCAGAGCAGGCGUGAGGACCAGGACUUGCAGGUUGUGCCCUGCUCUGGCUCUUCGAAAGGAGUGCUGUCCAGCAUGCCAUAGUGAGGGUCAUGGUUUGGGAGGACUCCUGGGUCCUGUUUCUAGCUGAGGGAAGGAGGGCAGAGGGUGGGAGGAAGGUUUUGUGGCUCAAGACUCCUGGCUUCUUUUUGGGAUCUGUCACUUCCCCAGAAUGAACCCACAAAUCAUCUGUGCUUUGAGUCAAUUGAUACCUUGGGUGAUGCUGUCAGCACGUACAUGGAGCGGUGAUCAACGUGAGCCAUGAUGCGAUACGCAUACCAGCUGCCAGCUCUGGGUGGUGGAGGAGCAGUCCAUCAGGCAGGUCAACGGCGACUUCGACUGCAAGUGGGAGGUGCUGGAGGCCUCAGGCCAGGCCGCGUGCUGCAGAUUACUUUUGCAGACCUUCCUGGGAUGAACAGAGAAAUGGGGAGCCCGCUGUACGAGAGGAGAGUAAAGGAACUGCCUUGUCCUACCUUGUGAGAAGCAGACCAAGAGCGGAGAUGACUGCUUUCUGCGAUUACAUCCGAGAGAGCCAAGAGCCAUGCAAAAGAAAAGGAGAGUGCCAGCUCCAGAAAAAAUUAUGUCAAAUCGAGGAAAUGGUCAACAGAGAACUGCCACACUCAUCACAUGUACGUGUGUCUCAGAAGCCAGUAAAGGCAAGAAAGCUACAUAGACGGACAAAAAACUAGAGCUCUUCCUUCCAAAAUGAUAUCUUUCAUUACAUCAACUGGAGAAUCACAAGAAAAUUGUCCUUUUCUGCAAGCUUUCGGGAUCAAAGUCCCUUUGUCAAGCUGUGGGAAAAGUAUAGGUGGUACAAGAUGGUAAGGAGUCCCUCUAGGUAGAAAAUCAACUUCAUUUUUGCACAGAGGGAGCUGGAGAUGGAAGACUGUCCCUCCGGGUCCGUGAGAGUGUCUUUGUGAGCUGGGCCAAGUAGCUCUUUGCUGUGUUGAUCAGGUAGGACUCCUUCCCUGGAGGUGUCAGAUGGCAAGCGGGGAAGUAACAAAAACUUCCUUCUUAUUCUGCAAUGAAGUUUAAAACCCCCCCAAAAAAGCUACAUACACAUUUCAAUUGACAUAGCAGCUACAGGGAACAAAAGGCUAAAUACGCAUCUCAACAGAAACUUGUAAAAGAUACAGAAAAAAUGUCCUGUAUGUGACAAACACUUCUCCCAUCAAACAUCCUAAGGGGUAGGGUGUUCAAAAUGUCUGAACCAUUCAGUGCAGGUCUGGAGUUUGAAAAACAAACCAUCGCCUGUACACGCUACUGCAAAUGUGCCCAGCUGAUAUACAGAUACCCCAAGACAGGUUUGGUGACACCUCUAAGUAUCCUGUCCAACUGCUCAGGCCCAUCCAAACGCUCAGACCUACAAUUAUAGGGUCUGCAGAGAUGCACAAGUUUUACCCCUAGACAAUGCAAGAACAGGAGCCAGGCACUUACUAGUUGUGAUAUGAUGAUCAACACCCUUUUCUCCCUGUUUGUCUGGACUCUAAGUGGCCAACUAUCAAGAAAAAAUGCUUUGAAGUUAUACAAUGAAACAAUAUAAGAACUAACAGAAUUUGCCAUCAAAGUGUGCACUCCAGGAGAAGCAGAGAGAGAUCACUGCUACAUCGCAACCAGCUUAACCAGCAACGGAUCCUGCAUGGGGAAAGCUGCAAAACUGGACCAACUUCCUUCGCCGGCAUUGGUAAGAGAACCCUAUUGCUGCUAAAUAUGUACUAGGACUUUGUGCAGUAGCUCCUUUUAUUUUGGGAAGGAGUCUUUUUCUGUCAUUUGGUUUGAUAAGUUUGCUUGUGGUAUUGUUAUUAAAGCCUUUCUGCUAUU